rnacentral:lncRNA from 1 species
UGGUGUUGUAUGAGGGCAUGUGAGCCACGUAGUUAACUCAGACUGUGUUGGCACCCUGGGAUCAUUCCUUUGCUGCAUGCUUGACAUGUUCACUAGGUGUUUGCUCCAUUUCAGCUGCCGUAGAGACUUUGUUCAGUGAUAUUCUACUUCCUAUCCUCAAGCUCUAACCAGUGUCCACUGCAAAGGUGAAGCAGCUCUGGCAUUUCUACUGCUGUUACCUUCUCCAUCAUAAGGUUGAACUACUCAAGAGCCUUGCACACCAUCGCCAGUCUGGUGACCAUGCCACCCGGUUCCCUCACCUCGCCGUGGCCAAGACUUCUCAGGCAGUGACCAGCCCGCAUGACCCUCGUUCCACGUUCUCCUAAGGUCAGUGAAGGUUUUCCCGUUGGUAAUUUCAGUUCUACCGUUUUGUGUUGACCAGAACAGGGUCGCGCCGCCACAGACCGUCCCCAUAGACAGUCUCACUGCCGACCGGUUAAACUGUGUCGUUCUUGGCCGGUUUCGUGCGAGCACCGUAGUCGUGAUAGGUCUCUAUUGCUCCCAGCGUCGGAGUUUGAAGCUCUACCAUGCGGUGGCCGUAGAAUUGAGCCCACCGAACUGAGUUUGUCGUCGCCGCCAUCGGUAGUUAUGUCUUAGCGUCCCCGCGGUCGAUUGAACACAGGUUGGACUCCACCGUUGCCUGGGGUCGCGAUGGUGCCGUCGCCGUUGACUAGGUCACACCACCGUGGCGGAUCGGGCGUCAGACCGCCGGCGUUGAGCACGGGCCAUCGGGGCCGAGAAGUUGCGAAUUGGAAGUGACCGAAGGACCUAGGUGAAUCGGUUAGCGACACAAGAAACACUGUAUCGGUCUCGAGUUGGUUUGUCCUGUUCGGCGAGAAUCUUUUUGCAAAAGUGCAAGUGCGGGCGCGCGGGCCGUCGGCCGCAGGCCGACUGUGCCUGUCACGCGGGUCGUGUGGGCCUGUUUGGGCCCGAGACCUAUUCAUCGAUUUGUUUUUUUCUUUUAGCUGAGAGAUUGGAAAUUAUGCCAAAAACUGUAGAAAAAUGUAAAAAAUAUGGGAUAAAUUUUGUAAGUUGUCUAAAAUAGUGAGCUCUCUGGUAAAAAAUAUUUUACGAUUUUUGGAUCAGUUGGAAAAUAUUAAGGGAAUUAAAUGUACUUUUGGAAGGAUCGUUUUAAUUUUAGAAAUACAAUUUGAGCCCAAAAAUUAUGGAAAUUCUUGGAGAGACUAUUUAUCAGAAGUUGAACACUUGGUAAAAUUUUGGGGCUGUUUGGAAGCCUUUUGAUCAGAAAACCUUGUAAGCCCCAAAAUAGAAUAGUUAAUCACUGAUCAAGUGUGGGUUAAUGCUUUGGAAAGGACAUAAGUUUAUCUAAGUAAGAGGUGCAGUUGCUUAAAAAGUUUUAAUCUUUCGAGAUAAGAUCUAAGAUGUAUUAGUUCUCUAGUUUGCCUAAGUGAAUCCGAUUUGGCCACUUUUAGCAAGUAUUGGUGGUGUAGAACCAUGUGUAUACUAGUCAUGUGUUUUUUUGUGGUGUUUAUGUUCCUCAGAUCUCCUUGUGUAAGUUUGCAUUUCAUCUCAUUACAUAAGCAUAAAUGUAUUUGUAAUUGACUUGUAGAGCACCUAGAAGAAGUGGUGUUUAAAGGAGGAGUCUACUCCAGUGGCUGCUAAUCAAGUGGAGGAGCCAUCUAACUGGGUAUUGGAUAGUAGGAUCUGGAACCUCUUCACUGCAAGAAGGCAAGCCCCGGUGCAUGCAAC